GACGAACGCUGGCGGCGUGCUUAACACAUGCAAGUCGAGCGGUAAGGCCCUUUCGGGGGUACGACGAGCGGCGAACGGGUGAGUAACACGUGGGUGACCUGCCCUCAGCUCUGGGAGUAAGCCUGGGAAACCGGGUCUAAUACUGGAUAUGACUCCAUGACGCAUGUUGUGGGGUGGAAAGCCUUGUGCGGCUGAGGAUGGGCCCGCGGCCUAUCAGCUUGUUGGUGGGGUGANGGCCUACCAAGGCGACGACGGGUAGCCGGCCUGAGAGGGCGACCGGCC
rnacentral:rRNA from 1 species